rnacentral:snoRNA from 1 species
AAGACUAUACUCUCAGGGAUCAUUUCUAUAGUUUGUGAAUACAAAUAUGUCACUAUUUACAGUAAAUCUUAAUUUUCUCAACCCUUCGAUUAUAGGCAGAGCCUGUCAGAGUAGA